rnacentral:lncRNA from 1 species
CCUAGUGGUACACAAGACUCUGCUGUGGUAGGCAUUGCAUAAACAUAAUGGAAACUUGUUGUAUACCCAAAUAAUUUGCUAUGACAGAGCCAAAACCCCUACUCCCCUCCAUCCUGCUCUAGGACCACCAGUGCAGAGUAUGUGCUCUGGACCCUGUCUGGGAGCAGCCGUGCAGCUCAUCCCGUCCGCACCAGGCCUGCCCCGGCUCUGCAGUGUCUGCGAGUUUAGACUACUGCCUCUUCACCAGCAGCCUGGAGACUGAGUCUUCAGUUUUCAGUCCAGCAUGCGGGGUUGGAUUGGGUGUGGUGUAAUUCUACCUCUUCUCCGCUGUACUCUGCCAGGUCCUUGACAACAAAGGUGGCAGGUCCUGGAGCGAACGCGACUGCUAGCAGUUCAAAUGUCAGAACUCCCAAAGUACUGUCAGCUGCGUGGUUGCGAGCUGAAGACUGUGCAAAUCCUUCACCUUCAUGCUGAGCAGGAUCUGUAUCUCUGUCAUCUUUCUGCAGUAUGGCCGAUACUGAGCGCUCCAGAAUAACUGCUCUUUGGAAAGCAUGAGUGAUCUGAGUAAUGCAGAACUUGCUUUUUCCUGGGAUAAUCCAUAGAGAUGGAUAUUGGGCAAUGAAAAUGCAGAAGGAAGCCAGGAUCAUGGGAUCUCAUUGGACAAGCAGGAGGGUCGUGCAGAGCCCUGGCAACGCGAGGGGAUGUCUCCAGUGCUGUCAUUCCCACCGUAGAAAAGGCUGAAGAUUAUUUGUGUUUCCUUUCAACCUUAUUUCUCCUGGAAUGAUUCUUACAAAGAUACCUUGUUGUGCAGAACAGGCACCACCCACCUCUUCAACCACUCUUUUAGCCACCUCUUCCUUUUCCAGCAGCCUGAG